CAAGAAACGGAGGAUGAAACCGAACAGGAAGCCGAACAGAGGCAGAGAAAGAGAAGGAAGACACGCUCCGGUGAUCAGACGGCCACGGAAGGGGAAUCGCACGAUCCCUAUGACUUCAGCGACACGGAAGAGGAGAUGCCGGAGAUUCAGGCACGGACUCCCAAAUCUCCUGAUCCUUCACAAACCGGAGAGGCUAAAACAAAGUUGGCUGAAU